rnacentral:rRNA from 1 species
CAAUAGCGUAUAUUAAAGUUGUUGCAGUUAAAAAGCUCGUAGUUGGAUUUCUGGACGGAGCAGCCGGUCCGCCGCUGUGCGGUGUGUACUCGUGCUUGACUCGGUUCAUCCUUGUGGGGAAGCGCAUUUCGGCAUUCAGUUGUCGAGGCGGGGAACCACAUCAUUUACUGUGAAAAAAUUAGAGUGUUUAAAGCAGGCAUUUUGCUGUGAAUACAUUAGCAUGGAAUAAUAACAUAGGACUUUGAUUCUAUUUUGUUGGUUGGAGAUCAAGGUAAUGAUUAACAGGGAUAGUUGGGGGUAUUCAUAUUUAAUUGUCAGAGGUGAAAUUCUUGGAUUUAUGAAAGAUGAACUCAUGCGAAAGCAUUUACCAAGGAUGUUUUCAUUA